rnacentral:lncRNA from 1 species
AUGUCACGAGCCUAUCUAUUCUUUUCCAUUGUUGUUUGGUUGGCUGGUGUUAGUGGUGGAGCUUUGUGGACAGAAGCUUGUGUCCUUUUUAUCUGCAAAUCAAGAGAUUUUAGUUCCAUGCCAGAGGCCAGAGGGCGUGGAAUUUCCAUGGAUAUUCACUGGAGUGUUAAGGGUUCAAAAUUGGAAUCACUUGUCACCAAAUAAUGUUUAAAACUAUUUGAGAUUGUUGGCUUAGAGUAGCAGUCAAAUCAUAGGACAUGGCAAGGCCAAGGGAAAACACACCCCAGGAUGGAGAACAGGUUCCAAAAGCUGAGGAAAGACGUUGAGAAGGUUGUGCAUACUUCUUCAGUCUCAGCAGAACCUUUUCAAUAGUGAGAGAAAGGGUAAGUAAGUACAUUCAUCUGCUUUUCUCUGUAUUGUUUAGUAUCAACAAAGUGGAGUUUGAUGACAAAAGAUCUUUUUUCUUCAUCUUUCUUCCCUUUCUCUUCCAAUUUUUUGAAGGCACCAGUAUCUUGAAAACCAGUCAAUGAAACUCCAAGGGCCUGCUUGAAAAUAAAUGUCGAUAGCCAUGUAUUGCAUGCAAGGAGGGUCCGUGAAUGUGUUUAUUUACCAUGAUGCUUUCUGAAACAUGAGAAAUAAAUUCUUUACACUGGAACCACAGAGGGGCUCUGCUUCUGAAAGCAGGCAGUCCGAAUGCUUGUCUUUGUUUCCCUAUUCUUGGUUGAGAUGAAAUCCAGACACUUGGGGGCUUGGGAAAAUCCGGCGUGUGGUUUGUUUCAAGGCAUUCUCUUCUAAGAUUCUGUUGCCAGUCUGUAGAACAGACCCUUUUCUCCGUCUCCUGCACCCCCUCCCCAUGCUUGCACCCCGUGGCCAGAGAGCCAAAUAUUACGAGCCAAGAGUGUUUUCAAUAGAAAUACUGGGAAAAUGCUGUUUCUAAUGGCAUAGAAAAAGCAAACAGAAUGAAGGCCAUUGUUAUGGGAAUCUUAAACCCAGAACUCUGAAGAAGGAAGGUAUAAGCACAGCCGAAUACUGUAGGAAGAACGUUCCUGCUUUCCAACAGGGAAAAUCAAAGGUAGUGUUUCUUGUCACAUUUUGUAUUUUUCAAAUAAAUACCUCCAGAAGAACAUACCAGAAAUUAUAUUGUAAGCACAUUAUGAGUAAGCACAUGAAUGUUUUAAUUUCUUUGCUCAAAAAAUAGUUACUAAUUGCAUGCUAAUGUGUGAAGCAUUUUUGAAGGUAUAAUUCUUUCUGAGGAGAAUUAUAUAGAAUUGUCACAUUAUAUUGUCACUAUCUGUAUAUCAUGUGACUCUUUCAUCAGAUAAGGCCUCUCUCCAGUCAAGGGAGGGCUCAUUUCACUUUUCUGUAGCUCCAGGCAUGUUCCAUGGUUUGUAAGCCUCAGAUUCCAGGGACUUACAUCAUGCAGGAGAGUUAAAUGUUUGUGCUCAUAAGCAUGCACCUAGUUAUGAACUAUUGAGCCUUGUCAGUGUUGUGGCCAGUCUGUGUUAUUACAGUUCAGAGAUAGCUGAUGAGUUGGAAAUGGGGUGCUGGAGAGGAUCAGGAACUGUUCAUAAGGGAGUAUGCGCUGGGCACACAGAGACAAGUAAGAUGUGAAUAGGCAGAGAAAAUAAUAAUAAAAGCCUGAGAUAAGAAGGGGGUCCAGGAAAUGGAAAAUUAAUCUUGUACUGUGAGAUGAACUCUCUGAAUUUCAAAUUUGAGCAUGAUUUGAAGUAGCAUGUUAUAGUGAAAACAAUAAACAGAUAAUUACUUCGUUUUAUUGUCAGAUGGAUACAGCUUCUGUCUCUGCAUUGACGCUUACUAGAAGGCUGCUACCUUAGGAACACUGCUUAAACUCAGUGAGACUGAUGUCUCUGGCUAUAAAAUGAGACUACUGUACUCUGCUGAUUUAUCUUAUCCCCACUGCCUUGAACAUUGCUUUUCAUAGAGAAAGAGGUUAAAAUAAAUAUUUGGUGAAUGAACACCCAUCAAAGAAGCAGAAUCAAAUGAAAUAACACGGGAGUGCCAAUUACAUAGUAUGCACUCAAUACAUAUUGGUUCUGUAGCUUUCUCCCUUUUUCUUGCUGUUCAGAAAAUUUUAUUGCCUUUGCAUUCCAUAAUCUAGCUUCCAUUUAUAUUUCCAAAUAAAUUCCCCAUUAUUUUUUUACCUACCAAGUAUGUUACUCACUGAUACUUGUAUAUUAUUCAUAAUCUAUUUUAACUUAAACUAUUGCCUUUUUCCAUAUUAUACUUUCCUUGCAUUUUCAUAUAUUCAAAAAUCAACCCAUUCUUCAAGGUCCAUCUCAGAUACCAGCUUCAUAAAGAAUUUCAUGUAUUCUCUUCCUUCCUUUCGCUGAAAUUUCCUGCCUAUAUUUAUCCAUUUUACUUUGUGUCAUGUAACAUUUACACUUUUGUGUUACAUUAAUUCAUUCAACUAUAUGUCUUUUCUGCCAGCAAAGUUUAUGCUUUUUUUAAAAUUUUAUAACUUUUAUGGAGCAUUUAUCAUGCUCACAUCACCAUGUUAAGUUGUGUAUAUGGAAAGGCAAAUAUGACAUUGUCUUUAUUCUAAGGGAGUGCUCCAUAUAUUACACUGGAUAUGCAAGUCAAUAAUUAUACUCAAAAAUACUAAGUAUACUUAAUAGCAUCAACUAUUUUAUUAUCAGAAUACAGAGAUGUCAAAAAUGGCUUCAAGACGAUCUCUCAUUUUAACCGAGAUCCCAGGAAGGACUAGUAAUUAGGUUUUUAAGUAAUACUAUAGAUCUACCAUCUGAGAAGAAUGCCUACCCUUGAAUUAGUCAUGUCAUGUUGACACGCAGCUACUUUCCAUAUUUUCAACAAUGAUUCUUCAACUGCUACAAUGUAGAAUAUUUCAUAAUCCUACAGCACAAGCAAAAUGCCCUUUCCCUAAUUAUCUGCCUCAGAUCUAAUAUUAUGGCAUAAUAUUUAUGAAUGGCCAGACACUUCCUUAAACAUUUUUCAAUGAUGCUGUUUUCCUUUCCUUGACUCAAUUACAUUUUGUAUAACGCAUCUGGUAUUUUCCUGUCUUCUAAUAGAAACCUGUUCCAACUGAUUUAAAAUUCAGAAAACAUGAGCAAGAUAAGCUCUGAUAACUUUUCUGAUUCUCUUGUAGGUGUAUAAAAUGCUAUGGCAUUGAGAGAGGUUUGAAGCGGGAAGACACUGAUGGGUCAUUGAAGUGUGUGAAAUCUCAGUGAGAAAUUGCCUCUUUGAGUCAUGACGGAUCCAGAGCCUUGUCUGGUCCCCACGGUGUUGUCUAUAAAAUCUCCUGUGCUGCAUUAAGACAGGUAGUCUGUCAUUCAGUUUCAGUGUAUUUUGGAAUAUACUUAGAAGCAAAAAAAAUCCUACCGUAGCUUUUUUCCCUGUACUCAAGUAUAAACUUCUUUUCUUUCUCUAAAAUCAAUAUUGCUUUUAUUAAUUAAAAUUUUGUUUAUAUUUUAAUCAACAAAUAAUAAUUGUGCAUAUUUAUGGGGUACAUAGUGAUUUUUUGAUUUAUACAAUGUAAAGUGAUCAGAUCAUGGCAGUUGGCAUAUCCAUCAUCUCAAAAACAUGCUUCCUAAGAACAAUACUCAGUUCAUAAUCAUUUUACAUCUUCCAGUUGGUCAAAGUUAAUAUUCUGCAGAGAGCAGAAACUGAGUGUUAUUUGAGGAAAAACUUUCAAGUUCUGAUGGAACUUUAGUUAAGUAGUUGCAAAUACUUUUUGACACUUGCAAAAAGUAUACAUUUGAGAAUAUUUUUUCACAUAGAUAAAUAAAUAUAUUACAAGGAAAUGGCUGAAUUAUCCAAUGGAGAGUACUUAAAAGAAAAACUGAAGAAAAACAGCAAAAUUGGAACUGGCAUAAUCAACCAGCAUGAUGCAGUAAUUAUUUCCUCUCUCCCAUAUUCCCACUGAGAUAUGCAAUAUAAUAUAGAAUUAGAGGGAAAGUUACAUCAGCACCAGCAGUAGAAAGUAGGGCAGCAUGCUGCCACCUGUAAGAAAUUGAAAAUAUUGUUGUUAUACUAGAAUAUUCCCGUUAUUCUUCAACUGUUUUGGGUUCAUUAAGGGUCUCCAGAUAAACAGAACCAAUAAGAUACACACACACACACACACACACACACACACACACACGCAUAGUUGUAUGUACAUCUGUACAUCAGUACAUAUAUACACAUGCAU